ensembl:rRNA 5S_rRNA 5S ribosomal RNA
UUCUAUAAUUUUACCAUCCUGAAUGUAUCCAGUCUCCUCUGAUCUUGGAAGCUAACCAGGGUCAGGCAGAUUAGUAUAUAGAUGGGAGAUCUGUAUUUAAAAGAAGUGAUUUUGUAAACA